GAGGGGCGAGAGGCGACGCAGGCGAGAGGCGACGCCUCUUCACAGCAACGCACAGCUGCUUUUCCUCAACCUCACGAAGACAACAGAGCAUCGCAGACGCCUCAACCUCACGUCUCUUCCUCGACUUCACGAUGACAGGGACAGAUCAGAUCAUCAGGGUUCUUCCUUUCGAGAGUCAGGACAG